UAGGCAGCUGGAGAAGAGGAGCGGGGAGAAGAAAAGCACAGGUGAUAAGAGUAUGACGCAUCACUGUUAGCCAAGGAAACAAACAGUGCUUUAGCAUACUGACCAGGAGCAGGUGAAGCCGAGAGGGCUGCUCCCUGGAUUAAAGCCCAAGGAUAAUGGGAGUAGACUUCCUUCCACCCGAUGAAUGUUCUUUUAUUGUGUAACUCACCAUGCACUUUUUACCAGUUAUUUCAUUGUGACCAGCAGUGGUGUGACUACAUCUAACUUCAAUAUUGUAAAUAUUCUCUCAUUUUGUUGUAGCAUUCACUUGACCUAGCCAACUUGCUGGGGUAGUUGCCACUCUGGCUGCGUACGACAUUGUAGUCGCCGAAUCUUGACACCCUCUUCACGCUACUGAUGCAAACUUGUGUAAAUGCUCAUCAACUAUGAAAUUAGUACACAUAUACGCACACACGCCCGCGCGCGCACACACACGGACAUUAAAUUCUAUCAGAAUGGUGACGUUUUUGUGAACAGCAGUAUUUGACGUUUUAUCGGACAUGAACCUUGUGUGGUAGUAAACAUUUUACCUGCUUACCAUCCUCCUAUGCAAGAGCAAGACAAUGACCAAACCGACAAUAAGGCACUCGCAUUCACAAAGUGUCUCACACCUCACCCCGCGAUAUCACACAAAUGUUUGGCGAUCCAUCUUGCACAAUUGAAGAACUUGGAACUUUGGGAUGCCUCUUCCUGUCUGCUACACUGGUCUGUGGCGAGGAAUGACGGCGCUACCGUCUUGAUGUUGAAGAACAAGGACUUACCAAAACCCCUCAGUUUCACCAUUUAGACAAGACAGAAUCUCACAUCGACCUUAUAACGGUCUCAAAAGCUCAGAGGGCCUUACCACAACCCCUCAACGCCAGAAUUCACUUCGUCACAACACAGCAGUCAGGGGCCUUACCAGAACCCCUCCACUUCCUCUCUUCACAAAGGAUGCCAUCCACUGACAGGGCCUUACCAAACCCCCACUUGUGCGCCAAAAACUGAUCUAACGGGGGUAAAAAAAUAAAAAAAGAAAGAAAAGAAAAAAGGUCUAAAAGGCAGGAGUUGGCCUUUACGCAACUCCAUCCAAUUUAUGGAAGGCACUAACCACUAAGUUGUACGAGAAUUUGCCUCCAUCUGAAAUUAUUCACCCACUGUCCAAACCUUUUUCCAACGGGGGGAG